ensembl:lncRNA
UCUCUCUCUCUAUGAGUCUUGUUCUGUUCUGCAGUCAGUGGUUGUGGUUAUGCCUCUCCCUCUCUCCCUUUCUCUCUCCUUCUCUCUCCCUCACCAUAUCUCCCUCUCUCUCUCCCCUCCUCUCUCUCCCCCCUCGCUCUCUCUCUCCCCUGCUCUCCCUCCCUCUCUCUCGCUCUGUAUCGCUCUGAGUCUUGUUAUGUUCUGCAGUUAGUGGUUGUGUUUCGCAGCUCAAACAACACACAUAGUUUAACAGCAGGUUGCCACACACAUUGACACAAACGUGAAUGCAAGAAAGUACCUACACACAUGCAAGUGCACGCACGCACGCACACACAAACACCCACACACACUGGAUAUUUAACACCCGGGACAUCUUGAGUGUUUAACAGAGAAUCGAUACACUUAGUCUCAACAGCUCAACAGACAGGUGAAAGAGCUUCAGUGGGGAGGAGUAAUGUAGAAGAGUGAGAUAUGACCUCAUUCUGGACACACACACACACACACACACACACACACACACACACACACACACACACACACACACACACACACACACACACACACACACACACACACACACACGCACACAUGGUUUCUCUGUUCUGGUUUGUGGUUGACAUGGAUAAGGGUACAGGCUAUGAGUCGCUCUCUGAAACAUCUUGCCAAAUUCCUAGGGAAGCCUGUCAGUCGGGCCCACAUCACAGAAACAAAGCAGAUAUUCUGCACUGUGUCAACAGAGCUCCAACAUACUCAUCUUGUAAUAUAAAGCUGUAGUGUUUAAGAAUGUAACAGACUAUAUCUGAGCUAGCUACUAGCGGUUUGACACUAUGGCUUAUGUCACUGUCUGCAUAUGGGUUUUAUGGGACAGUCUAGUGAGAGUCUGUCUGUUCAUCGGUUUGUACACACUGGGAUCACCUACAUUAUAUGGCCCGUCUCUCCCCAUAGGGGGGUUUCAUGUCACUCACUGAUCCUCAGGAUCAACAACAGUGACAGCCAGGCAGACAGAGCCAGCUAUGGGCCAGGGGAGAGAGACCGAAACACUAAGUAAACGGCUUGCCUUCGGUUCACAGUCUAACACUUCCUAAAUCCUGAUGCUGCCGUUGACCACCUUUUGACCCGGCAGAGAGAGAGCGAGAGAGAGAGAGAGAGAAAGGCAGAGAGAAAGAGAGAGAGAGAGAGAGAGAGAGAGAGUGAGAGAAAGAGAGAGAAAGGCAGAGAGAGAGAGAGAGAGAGAGAGAGAGAGAGAGAAAGGCAGAGAGAGAGAGAGAGAG